rnacentral:lncRNA from 1 species
GUUCUGGAGCACUAUUUGCUUUUUUGCCCCUCAGGUCGAGACUGCUUAUCUCAGGCAUGCAGAGGUGGUCAGUGACUAUCCCAAGGAGACAACUCGCAAGAUUCCUCAAGCUAGAAUUCAGGGUCGACUCCAGGCAGUUGUUGCAAAUGGCCACAGUUUCCAUGAAGAGUGCACAGAUGGCUCCAUUCUCACAGCUUCCUUGGAAAGAUGGAACAUGGACCAUGUCUUGAUGACAGUUUGCUAGGUUCAUCAACUUCUGAAAUGUGGUGACAGAGCAAAGACUACAACUCAUGGGCAAAAGGAAAUUGCUUAGAAGCAAAUAGUAAUAUUUGUCAGGGAAGAUCUUGAAGAGUUCACUUAUGAAAACAUUGGGUUGACAUCUCUUAUUUUGAUCAAAAUACAUUAAAAUAGGGGUUAGCAUUGUGGUUUAUUCUACCUUUAAUUAGCUAGUUAAUUUUUGAGACAGGUUUGAGACCUCCUCAC